rnacentral:rRNA from 1 species
UGCAAGUAGAACGCUGAAGAGAGGAGCUUGCUCUUCUUGGAUGAGUUGCGAACGGGUGAGUAACGCGUAGGUAACCUGCCUUGUAGCGGGGGAUAACUAUUGGAAACGAUAGCUAAUACCGCAUAACAAUGGAUGACACAUGUCAUUUAUUUGAAAGGGGCAAUUGCUCCACUACAAGAUGGACCUGCGUUGUAUUAGCUAGUAGGUGAGGUAAUGGCUCACCUAGGCGACGAUACAUAGCCGACCUGAGAGGGUGAUCGGCCACACUGGGACUGAGACACGGCCCAGACUCCUACGGGAGGCAGCAGUAGGGAAUCUUCGGCAAUGGGGGCAACCCUGACCGAGCAACGCCGCGUGAGUGAAGAAGGUUUUCGGAUCGUAAAGCUCUGUUGUAAGUCAAGAACGGGUGUGAGAGUGGAAAGUUCACACUGUGACGGUAGCUUACCAGAAAGGGACGGCUAACUACGUGCCAGCAGCCGCGGUAAUACGUAGGUCCCGAGCGUUGUCCGGAUUUAUUGGGCGUAAAGCGAGCGCAGGCGGUUUGAUAAGUCUGAAGUUAAAGGCUGUGGCUCAACCAUAGUUCGCUUUGGAAACUGUCAAACUUGAGUGCAGAAGGGGAGAGUGGAAUUCCAUGUGUAGCGGUGAAAUGCGUAGAUAUAUGGAGGAACACCGGUGGCGAAAGCGGCUCUCUGGUCUGUAACUGACGCUGAGGCUCGAAAGCGUGGGGAGCGAACAGGAUUAGAUACCCUGGUAGUCCACGCCGUAAACGAUGAGUGCUAGGUGUUGGAUCCUUUCCGGGAUUCAGUGCCGCAGCUAACGCAUUAAGCACUCCGCCUGGGGAGUACGACCGCAAGGUUGAAACUCAAAGGAAUUGACGGGGGCCCGCACAAGCGGUGGAGCAUGUGGUUUAAUUCGAAGCAACGCGAAGAACCUUACCAGGUCUUGACAUCCCGAUGCUAUUUCUAGAGAUAGAAAGUUACUUCGGUACAUCGGUGACAGGUGGUGCAUGGUUGUCGUCAGCUCGUGUCGUGAGAUGUUGGGUUAAGUCCCGCAACGAGCGCAACCCCUAUUGUUAGUUGCCAUCAUUCAGUUGGGCACUCUAGCGAGACUGCCGGUAAUAAACCGGAGGAAGGUGGGGAUGACGUCAAAUCAUCAUGCCCCUUAUGACCUGGGCUACACACGUGCUACAAUGGUUGGUACAACGAGUUGCGAGUCGGUGACGGCGAGCUAAUCUCUUAAAGCCAAUCUCAGUUCGGAUUGUAGGCUGCAACUCGCCUACAUGAAGUCGGAAUCGCUAGUAAUCGCGGAUCAGCACGCCGCGGUGAAUACGUUCCCGGGCCUUGUACACACCGCCCGUCACACCACGAGAGUUUGUAACACCCGAAGUCGGUGAGGUAACCUUU